rnacentral:rRNA from 1 species
CCUACGGGUGGCAGCAGUGGGGAAUAUUGCACAAUGGGCGAAACCCUGAUGCAGCGAUGCCGCGUGUGCGAAGAAGGAUUUCGGUAUGUAAAGUACUAUCAGCAGGGAGGAAAGUGAUGGUACUUGUCUAUGAAGCCCUUGCUAACUACGUGCCAGCAGCCGCCGUAAUACGUCGGGGGCAAGCGUUAACCGGAUUUAAGGGGGGUAACGGGAACGUAGGCGGCGGGGCAAGUCUGACGUGAAAGGCAAGGGCUCAACCCUUGGACUGAAUUGGAAACUGGGCAGAUGGAGUGUCGGAGAGGCGAGUAGAAUUCCUGGUGUAGCGGUGAAAUGCGUAGAGAUUAGGAGGAAUACCAGUGGCGAAGGCGGCUUGCUGGACGAUGACUGACGUUGAGGUGCGAAAGCGUGGGGAGCAAACAGGAUUAGAUACCCGAGUAGUC